GAUGAACGCUGGCGGCGUGCUUAACACAUGCAAGUCGAACGAAGCACUUAAGAUUGAUUCUUCGGAUGACGUCUUUUGUGACUUAGUGGCGGACGGGUGAGUAACGCGUGGGUAACCUGCCUCACACAGGGGGAUAACAGUUAGAAAUGACUGCUAAUACCGCAUAACCCGAUAGGAUCGCAUGAUCCAGACGGAAAAGAUUUAUCGGCGUGAGAUGGACCCGCGUCUGAUUAGCUAGUUGGUGAGGUAACGGCCCACCAAGGCGACGAUCAGUAGCCGGCCUGAGAGGGUGAACGGCCACAUUGGGACUGAGACACGGCCCAAACUCCUACGGGAGGCAGCAGUGGGGAAUAUUGCACAAUGGGGGAAACCCUGAUGCAGCGACGCCGCGUGAGUGAAGAAGUAUUUCGGUAUGUAAAGCUCUAUCAGCAGGGAAGAAAAUGACGGUACCUGACUAAGAAGCCCCGGCUAACUACGUG
rnacentral:rRNA from 1 species